rnacentral:rRNA from 1 species
UUUAUUUGAUAGUACCUUUACCUGGAUAACCGUGGUAAUUCUAGAGCUAAUACAUGCUAAAAACCCCGACUUCGGAAGGGGUGUAUUUAUUAGAUAAAAAACCAAUGCCCUUCGGGGCUCCUUGGUGAUUCAUAAUAACUUAACGAAUCGCAUGGCCUUGCGCCGGCGAUGGUUCAUUCAAAUUUCUGCCCUAUCAACUUUCGAUUGUAAGAUAGAGGCUUACAAUGGUCUUAACGGGUAACGGGGAAUUAGGGUUCUAUUCCGGAGAGGGAGCCUGAGAAACGGCUACCACAUCCAAGGAAGGCAGCAGGCGCGCAAAUUACCCAAUCCCGACACGGGGAGGUAGUGACAAUAAAUACUGAUACGGGGCUCUUUCGGGUCUCGUAAUUGGAAUGAGUACAAUCUAAAUCCCUUAACGAGGAACAAUUGGAGGGCAAGUCUGGUGCCAGCAGCCGCGGUAAUUCCAGCUCCAAUAGCGUAUAUUAAAGUUGUUGCCGUUAAAAAGCUCGUAGUUGAACCUUGGACCUGGCUGAUCUGUCCUCCUAAUCGAGCGCACGGAUUCGGUCGGGUCUUUCCUUCUGGGGAACCCCAUGCCCUUCACUGGGUGUGGCGGGGAACCAGGACUUUUACCUUGAAAAAAUUAGAGUGUUCAAAGCAGGCCUUUGCUCGAAUACAUUAGCAUGGAAUAAUAGAAUAGGACAUCGGUUCUAUUUUGUUGGUUUCUAGGACCGCUGUAAUGAUUAAUAGGGAUAGUCGGGGGCGUCAGUAUUCAAUUGUCAGAGGUGAAAUUCUUGGAUUUAUUGAAGACUAACUACUGCGAAAGCAUUCGCCAAGGAUGUUUUCAUUAAUCAGUGAACGAAAGUUAGGGGAUCGAAGACGAUCAGAUACCGUCGUAGUCUUAACCAUAAACUAUGCCGACUAGGGAUCGGACGGUGGUUUUUUUAUGCCCCGUUCGGCACCUUACGAGAAAUCAAAGUGUUUGGGCUCGGGGGGGAGUAUGGUCGCAAGGCUGAAACUUAAAGG